GAAGAAGAAGAAGAGAGAGAGAGAGAGAGAGAGAGAGAGAGAGAGAGAGAGAGAGAGAGAGGGAGAGAGAAAGAGAGAAGAGUACCAGCGACGCUCUCGAGAGGAUCGGAAGGAUCGAACGGAGGAGAGCAACAGGCUCCUAGCGUGGAAGGAAGACGGUGGAGGGGAGGCGGCACAACUGGAGAGUUCGGUGCAACCGUCGAUUCCAUUUCGUUAGUUCGCGCUCGGUCUCCUUUUUCGUACGCGUGUCAGUCUACGAGCGAGCAGCUACGUUCCUCGUCGGAGACCUUGUCGGUUCGCGGCCGUCGAUCGUUUCGCGGUCGCGCCUCUGUGUUACGUUCUUGUCACGUUUCUGUUGCUCGAAGGGAGAAGCGAAGAGAAGAUUGCGAUUUUUUUUUUUCCUUCUUUUUUUUUUCGCCGAGGAAAAUGUCAAGGAAGAUGCGCCCGGAGCGCGGCUACCGGCUCGACACGAGAGUGGCGAGCCGCUACCAACCAUUCUGAGGACGGAGGACGACGCAUCGUCGAUCGUCACGCGAGAAGGAAGUGCAACCCGUGAUUCUUCCUGUCGUGAGACCCAGUGUCGGCCGCGUUGCGUUGGCCACGGAGCGUGGUGGAACAGGGAGAGGAGAAGCGGAAGGAUGGAUGGGCGGCAGGCAGAGAAGAAGGGUGGCCGGUCGUGGCCGCGGAGGGGUUCGCUCACAUCCACUCGCUCGCGAUGCGUUCGUUCGUUUCAGCAUAUAAGUAGGUGCGGAGUCGCAGUCGCGCGAUCGCUCGCCGGCCGCGCGCGCAAAAUGGCUGGCAGAUUUAGUAGUGGACUUACGUAACGCGGUUGUGCAUGUGCCGAACGCACGGGUCCGCUAUACCGUGUAUAUACACACGUAUUAUAUUUCCCUUCAAGAGGUGACAGUUGGCCGUAUCGUAUACGGGAUAUACGUCCAGAGAUUCCUAAUUAAUUCUUCUUCUUCUUCUUCUUCUUCUUCUUGCUCCUCCGAUUAAUUUCGACGCCUUUUUUCUCUUCGUCUUAUCUGACUUCUUUUCUUCCUUCCGUCGCGGGGAAAGAGAAUGAAGAGCGGGGGAAAAAGAAAAAGGAAAAGAGCGCGAGGGACGCAUUUGAUCGUCGAGAUCAUUGGUUCGUAUCGAAACGACGUAUCGUCGUCGUUUCAAGGGUCAGCAUAUUAAGGUUUACGUAACGGCUUCACGUGUCGAAGACGAUACGAGCCAGCUUUUCUUAUCGUUCGCGAGGAGUUUCUUCCGAACGAACGAAAG